CUUGAGGCUUGAGCCUUUAAUCUUUUGUCCAUAAAGAUAACAUAGUCCAUUUGUUGCCUAAUUGCACAAACAUAUGGAAAUUUUCCAUAUGUGGAUUGAGGGAAAAAAGAGUUAAAAAACAGCACCAGGUAAUCUUACUGUUUUGGGUCUUUCAUUUACAAUGCAAUAUAAGAAAUUGGCAAAAUUUACAUGUCACAAGGUUCAAAGAAAGAAGAAAACCACAAAUCAUCAGCUAUUGCCUCCUUGUCUUAGCAACUUCUUAAACUCUUCACCAGUGCUCUUUAGCAUGUUAGCCACAGGCAAUUUAACCCCACUUUGUAAGACUUUAAUGUUUCUUGGUUUUAUCCUCUUCUCUAACCUGAAAACAAACAAAUAAGUGCCACCUUCGAUAUUUCAUGCAGGUAAAUGAAACAAAUAGUUUCAACGCAAACUAAAGUCUGAGAUGAUUUGAAGUCAGUCAAGUGAUAAAGGUGAUGUCAGUUAGAAUUGCCUAUGACUUAGCAUUCAAUAGAAUUAACUCUCGCCCAGAAGACACAAAUAUUUAUGAUCCUGAGAAUACCUAGUUUUACUGCUCCAGCAUGCUGAAUGAAAGCGAUUCAAGCCAUACUACGGUUUACCACUACUGAAAGCGAAUGACAAUCUGAAGUUGCAUCGUAUCAAUUCAGUGACAACAGAUUGUUAUCUCAGAAAGUUCUCAAAAAGCUAUUUCAAACAAUUACACUCGCAAGUCACGUGGUUAGAUUUCAGGAAUGCAAUGUCAUUACUCAACUAGUAAAAGGAAACAAGAGACAGAGAACCAUGGAGCUCAUUUACAUUAAAUGCAAGAGAUAUCCAGCACAGAUACAGAAUUUACGAAUAUCAUAAAAUAUAGAAUUAAUUUGUGCACACCUGAUAGUCCAAGAGGGGAAUGUUACUUUUUCGUUGACAGCCAGUUUUCUAAUGAACGAUUUUUGUUGUCUUAUUCAUGUGUCAUUGGAGCUUAGUGAAUAAAAAAUAGAGCCAAACCACCCAAGGUGUAUCCACUAGUACAUUUCUAUUCAAGCAUUAUUGACGAUCCCCUCUUCCCCAGGGUCAAAACAAAGUUAUUGACGAUCCACCGGCACUACUGCUAAGUGAAAUCCGUGGUGUGGGGAUCCAACACAAGAUAGAGAAACUGCUUUUGAAUUUUUAAUGAAACAUCGUGAAUAUGACUUCUCGUAUAAAAUGGAUGAAUGAAUAUAAAGGAUUAGGCACGUCAUUAUGUUUUCUAGAUCACCAUGGCUUUUCACUCCUGUUGUUUUAUUCACUCAAAAUUCAAGCAGCAAUUUCUGCCUUCUUACAUUAUUGCUUAUUACCAAGGGGCACGAAUUCCUUCAAGAUUGAUAAUUUUAGAGAUAAAAGUGAGCAACCUAACCAAUAAUAAUAAUAAUAAUAAUAAAAGAGCAAGGCGGAAGGGAUAAAAGUGGGUGCAACCGAUUCAUUUCCAACGAAAUCCAUGAUUCAGCGUGUGUGCAGAGAUAUAUACAUAAACUUAUUCAUUGUUUUCAAUUUUUCCUAUUCCUUCUUCCCUCUCCCCCCCCCCCAAAAAAAAAAAAAAGAGUUCUUGGAUUUUAACUUACUCUGAAUCACUUUUGACCUCCAAAACAGUUGAACUGUCAAUCUUCUUCUCUUCUUGUUUUCCCCAGCUGCCAAAUGCACCCAACUAAACCUAACACAAACAUUC
rnacentral:lncRNA from 1 species